GGUUCGGUGGUGUAGUUGGUUAUCACGUCUGUCUAACAUCAGUGUUCACAGGCGGUCCCCAGUUCGAGCCUGGGUCGAAUCA